rnacentral:snRNA from 1 species
AUACUCUGGUUUCUCUUCAAAAUGAAUAGUAAAGAUUUCCGUGGAGCGGGACAGUUAUGAGUUGGCAACCAAAUUUUUUGAGGUCUUGCUUAGGCAAGGCU